rnacentral:rRNA from 1 species
AUUGACCUCUGGCGGCAGGCCUAACACAUUCAAUUCGAGCGGAGCGGCGGCCGGGUGAGUACUGCCUAGGAAUCUGCCUGGUCGUGGGGUAUACCGUCCGGAAACGGGCGCUAAUACCGCAUCCUAUCAGAUGAGCCUAGGUCGGAUUAGCUAGUGGGUGGGGUAAAGGCCUACCAAGGCGACGAUCCGUAACUGGUAUGAGAGGAUGAUCAGUCAGACUGGAACUGAGACACGGUCCAGACUCCGACGGGAGGCAGCAGUGGGGAAUAGUGGACAAGGGGCGAAAGCCUGAUCCAGCCAUGCCGCGUGUGUGAAGAAGGUCUUCGGAUUGUAAAGCACUUUAAGUUGGGAGGCGGUACCAACAGAAUAAGUACCGGCUAACUUCGUGCCAGCCGCCGCGGUAAUAC